GAAGAGAAUAUAUGCCUGUAGCACGACAACUUACGAAGGCUUUCAAGCUGUAAUGACUGAGGAAGUGUCAGAGGAAUUUAAGAAAUUACCAAAUGUUGUCUUCGUUUUGCCCGAUUCGUAUAUUGAUCCCGUGAACAAGCAGUACGGAGGAGAUAAAUAUGACAAUGGUGUUAUUACCCCAAGGCCUCCUCCAGUGCAAUAUCGGCAACAAAGGCCUGAUCGAAGGAAUUUUAACCAGCCAAGGUAUAGUGGACCCCAGGAGCAAAGUUCACCACAACAAGGAUACCG
rnacentral:misc_RNA from 1 species